UAGAUAAGGGUAUCAGCCUCUGGACU
rnacentral:piRNA from 1 species